rnacentral:lncRNA from 1 species
UCCCACAAUGAAGGCGUUUCAUAUGCGUCGGUUCCGUUUCUCCUUUCUCCUUCAAUCCUUACAGUAUGCAUGGUACCAUGCAUACUGUUCCAGUGUUUCACAGAAAUAUGCGAAAAUCGAGAAAAAAAACACCUCGAUGCAUUGCCGGAGCAAGAGAGUGGAGCGAUUGUAAGGAGAAACGGAGCCGACGCAUAUGAAACGCCUUCAUUGUGGGAAAAUACUUCCUAGCGUUGCUUCAGAGGCCGAAUAGUUGCAUCAUUUCAAAACCCAACCAGCGGCGUAGCGGCGGAGAUGAGCGAGCAAUGCGGUUGGUUGAUACAGCCGCUAACUUACAAUUUGCGAUAAAGCCACUGAUUUUAACAACGUCUUACCUGAAGUGCAUUUUCAAUGACAGCCUCUUUUUGGCGAUUUUGUGAUCACUUUUAUAAUAGGCGAAUGCUAAGACUGAUCUAAAAUCGUCCCUAGCCUUUAAGAAAAUUCACAUUUGUAGCUAAAGAAUAUCUAAUUAUUGAUGGGACAAGAAUGUUCUGUAGUCAAAGCUAGCCCACGUGAGUAUCUCGAGUGCUAAUUUUUUUUCUUUCUUUUUCUUUAUUCUUUCUUUGCAGAUUGAACUUGUUUGGUUCAUUUUCAUUUUAACACUCAACAGAUUUUCACCUGAUACCCAAAUUUUUACUGACACCUGAAUCACCAUAAAAAUAACAUUAUAUUCCGUCACUUUUGUUGGUUGCCUGACAUACUGACGUAGACAACAUAAAAAUGAAUAUACUUCAGGGUUGAAACUGCUGUAUUUUUUGCUUUUAAUCUCGCAUCAAACGCGGCGCGGGUCUGAGGUAAAAAUAUGAAAUGCGUAAAUAAGUAACAUCAUGAAUUUAAUUUGCAGGUUUUUGAGGAAGGGCUUUCAGUCUCAUGACUUGGCGAACUUGGUUGUGCCCGGAGUUAUUUUGGUGCUUCUUCCUGGGAUAUUAUGUUCACCUUGAAACUCUGGGUCGGAGUUAUUUGGGUAGCAAGCAGUAUAUGUUCAUUCAUAGGAACAACUGCAGCCCCACCAUGCUCCUGAUAUAUUCCACGAAGGUGACGUACCACGAGAGGACAGAGACUGGGGCCUACACAGCUAGACGCGGUGUCGAGACCGGAAGGAAAUCAGCGGAAGUCUCCUGCUGACCCUUUUCACUUCGGAGACACACUUUGCACCACCUCUUCCCGGCGCUGGACCACGCGGUCCUCGAGCACUUGCACCCGACGUUCGAAAAAGUCUGCGCUCAGUUCAACGUCCACCCACGAAGCCACGCCUUACUGGGACCCUCAUCAAGGCCAGUUCCAGCAGCUGGCCAGAACCACGCCGAGGGUCUUCCCGCUCAAAGCCGCCGAGAAACAGAGAUGAGGACCCGCUAAUUUUCUGAGGAGAUUUUUCGGGAGAGCAGGGCGUCAUUGCAGCCAAACUGAGAAGGACGAAAUUUUUUCGGAGGAGAUAAAAUUGCUAGGAGGCCAUUCAAGUACCACGUGAGGCAGUUUGGCGGACUUUUGAUUCCUUCCGCACUUGUAGGGCACCCCGCAAGUAAACCUCCCCCUCUUAUUUAAAAAAAUAAAACAUAAAAAUGCCCUGACCUUGUCUUAUUCAUCCAAAAAUGACUAUGAAAACUUCAAGAAAUUAUUUUAAUGGAAAAAGGUUAUUAUUUUAAAGCGGAGACUUACGUAGACAGGGCUUCCUUCAUCUCUGCUUACGUCAUGCCCAACGGUCCCCAGGAGGGGAAACUAAAAAUAUCACCAAUAGAAACCCUAGAAUCAUCAAAUUUUAUGAAAGUUGUACAAGAAAGUCAAUUUCACAGCGGAGGGUCAAGGUUACGGCUCUCCCUGUCUUCUCGAAAUGGCGCACUUUCUAAAAGGAACUAAUUCAUCCGGAGAGCAAAGGGUUGUUUUUUGAGUAAGAUUGACAGAGUUCCAUAUUUAUCCCCACUAAGAACUUUUUUAGUAUUGACAUUUCUAGUUGAGUGAUUUAUAGAAUAGGUAAUUGUCCUAGCUCUUAGUUCACGGAAGCAAAUUUUCAGUUGAUCUAUUUUUUGUCGAAAGGAGCAAAAAAGCAUUUUAUGAGAAAACGUGUAUAUUGGGGUGUGCUUUUAUCUACAACUUCUAAUCACAGGGAAGAAAAUGAAUUUAAAAAUAGAUGCCAUAAAUUGUUAGUUCUGUAAGUGACGGGGUUACAAACAUGUUUUAAAAAUGUAAUUUAAUGAUUCUUGAAUUGAGGGUGAUUCGCACAGAGAGUCGAUAUUUCCUAAGCUUUGUUUUUAGUGAGAAAGGAAAUCAAGAGAAUUAAUCAGUGACAUCGAUGAAGGCAUGAUGAUAAAACCCAGAUCAUAAAUACACAAUCAAACGAAAGACUCGAUGUAUGUACUAACCGUGGCACGAGUAUAGUGCUUUAAUGGUGCGCAUCCUUUUGUGAUAAUUUGUAUGAGUGACCGUGACCCAUCUAUUGAUUUUGUUCUUUUUUUAUUAUUUUGGCGGUUAUCUCUAAGUAGGCUGUGAUAUUGUUGGAUUUGUUGUUAUUUAUGAAGUAAAAAAAAUAUAUAUUUUUCGAAUAUAAUACAAAAUCUUUCACGGUUCGAAACGUCCUGCCUUUUUUAUGUAUACCUUGCUAACCCAUAUUAUGGUUUUUAUUCUAUCCUGUUCCCGUAUACGGUCAAUGUGAUUGCUGCAAUUUUCUCAUGGGACACCCAUCUCGCAGAAAGUCCAUUCUGACAAAAAUCUUACAAAAAAAAUCCUUAUGCAUAGCUGUAGGAAAUUUUGUUUAAAGACAUAUCAUAAUUUAUUUGUGCACUAAUCACUGAGGACAGUUGUGGAUUGUCGUUAUAAAGUAGAAAAUGGCAGUCAGACCUUAUCGCUGAAAGCGUUUUACACAUAACUUAAAAAGAUUAUCCAGCAGGUCGUAUCAAAUGAGUUAAAAAGUGAUAAGACAUUUUCAAACAUCACCCUUACAAAAACAGAAUCGCAUUGCGCGUUUGAGGUUGUUUUAUAGUGUCUCAAAGGAAUUGGUGAAUUUUUGUCAGAAUUUUGCGAUCAUCGGGGCGAAACUGUUCUGUUUGAGGCCGGACAUAGUUUCUUUUCUCACGGGAGGUAAGUUCUCUCUUCAUAACUGAUUAGAUAGAGCAGCUUUCAUACUUCGACGCACUCUCGCUUAUCAGCCACGAGGUUUGGAUGUUUUUUUAAUCUUAUGCUAGUACCCGACUACUUUAAUGUUAUUGACAGGUCUAAAAUUUGUAACUGGUCGAAUUUAUUUUUAUUUUAUUUUAAAAAAAAUUCGUACAAGAGAGUCUCAUAAUUAUUGAGACUAUGGCACAUAUCAAGAGGCACCCCCCCCCCCCCGCUACCCCCGUACAAUUAGUUAUAAUAAGACGACAAUGAAACAUAAAAUUUUGCAAUUUAAAAAUUGUAAGUAUGUUUAUUAAACCAAAUACUAAAAAUUAGUAGGUACCUACCUAGAUAUUUUCACUUAAUACCGUUUUUCGGUGUACUUAAUGAUUUGAUUUUCCACCAUAAGGCACUCUUUUGCUUGACUGCAUCAUAUUUUUUCGGGGGAAAAUCCAUAAACUCUGGAGUGGUCAAAUUUCUGAUCGUGUUUCCUGAUAUACGUCGAUCAUAAGCAUUUCAAAUAAAGAUGGUUUAAUACUACGGACAUAGCGAUGCAUUGUUUAUUGACAGAAAUCGUUUUAUCAAUUUGAUAGCUUUUUAUCAUUGGAUGUUGUGAGUCAUAAAUUCUCGUUAAUUUGCCGAUUGAAUUAUUAAGGUCAUUUUGCAGACUCGAUCACAUAUAUCCAUUUAAUCUUGGUCCAUGCAUCAUUAUUUUGCAUGUUUUUCUUUUAGAAAAUUACGAUAGAUAUGAUGUAAUCUUUGCACCUAAAAUCGUUAUGUUGUGAAUUCACUCGGCUGUCGGUCAGGCUCAAGCCCCCUCCCGAAAGCAAAAAAGGGUCUUAUUUUUCACAAAAAAAAAAUUGAAGAAGGACCCCGAACCGCUUUAUUUGGAGGGGAGCAGAAUCCCCUCAACCUCCCCCCCCCCGAACAAAAUCCUGGCUACGUGCCUGCUGCAGUCUUAAGAAUUGCACCUUUAACUUCGAGGAAGGUUGUUGCACUCCGGCGUCUCAAAAUUGCUCAGAUUCCUCUUCGAAAGAAUUUUUUCUCAGGCUUACCUGUGUUUUUUUACUUUAAUUUAGACUCCGUUAAUGGUAGGGAUUUUGAUCCAGAAAGUCUCCAGAAUAGCCUCCUUUCGAGAGAAGCUGGCCAGAACUGAAACACCCCGUCUUACAGGAAGAGGAAUUUAAUUUCGACAGAAAAUUGGCUCCAUGACAAACAGACUGACGAUGGGGCAGAGGGGCUUUGGCGCAUCCACGAUAAAUUAUACGAUCUUCAUGGGUUCAUGGAGAAACAUCCAGGUGGAGCUCAGUGGCUGGAGAUAACCAAGUGAACCAUAAAGUCAUUUAAUACGUUACCCUCUAACCAAAGUAUCUGAAGCACCAUGCGACAAAUAUUUCCGCCGCCAUUCUAUUUUUUUACAGAAAAUUGUCGGUUGAAUCUGUUUGAAAUUUCACUGAAUUUUAUUGGCAGCACAAAGGAAUCUCAGGGAAAUUUUUCGGACAGCUUCGUUGACCUGGAAUUCUGAAACAUGGCCGAAGUUGUUUUUUAAUUAAAUGGAAUUUUUUUUGUCCAGAAAACGCAACUUUUUGAGGGUCGAAUUUUUUUUUUUUUUUUUUUGGGGGGGGGGGCACCCUAAAGUGUACCUCAAAUUUUUAAUUUGAAAAAUUACGCUCUUCCCCAUAUGCAGACAAAGAAGACAUCGGGAGUAUGGAGCGUCCUAUUGGUUUAAACGGUGGUUCCCGUAGACUAAGGGAGAAAAUGAUGGACAAACUACCAGGUCUCCCGUGGGUCGUCGUUGGUUAGGUUGGUUAGGUCCUGUGAAGAUUUUUGAGAAAAAAUUAAGAAGUUGCGUGAUCUUAGCAGAGAUUAUUCAUCAUAAAUU